rnacentral:tRNA from 5 species
UGGUUCACUAGCUCAGUCGGUAGAGCACAUGACUUUUAAUCAUGGUGUCCCGGGUUCGAUUCCCGGGUGAGCCACCAA